rnacentral:rRNA from 1 species
AACGAACGCUGGCGGCAGGCUUCAUACAUGCAAGUUGAGCGAUUAAGACCCCCUCGGGGGUGUAUAAAGCAGCGAACGGGUGAGUAACACGUGGAUAAUCUACCUUUUGGUGGGGGAUAACGGUUGGAAACGGCCGCUAAUACCGCAUACGGUCUUCGGGUCCUUGGGCCUGAAGAAGAAAGGGGCCUCAAAGCCUCGCCGGAAGAUGAGUCCGCGUCCCAUUAGCUAGUUGGCGGGAUAACAGCCCACCAAGGCAACGAUGGGUAGCCGAGCUGAGAGGUUGAUCGGCCACACUGGGACUGAGACACGGCCCAGACACCUACGGGAGGCUG